AAAUACGAAAAUAUAAAAAAAAACUGGAUCUCGAUUCUGAAAACACCAGACUUUUGAAGAAAACCUUAUCAAAGUUUGCUUUCAAUCCACUGUUAAUUACUGAAAAAA